GACAGAGGAUGCAAGCGUUAUCCGGAAUGAUUGGGCGUAAAGCGUCUGUAGGUGGCUUUAAGUCCGCCGUCAAAUCCCAGGGCUCAACCCUGGACAGGCGGUGGAAACUACCAAGCUGGAGUACGGUAGGGCAGAGGGAAUUCCGGUGGAGCGGUGAAAUGCGUAGAGAUCGGAAAGAACACCAACGGCGAAAGCACUCUGCUGGCCGACACUGACACUGAGAGACGAAAGCUAGGGAGCGAAUGG
rnacentral:rRNA from 1 species